GGAGGGUGCGAACGUUAAUCGGAAUCACUGGGCGUAAAGCGCGCGUAGGCGGUCUGUUAAGUGGGAUGUGAAAUCCCCGGGCUUAACCUGGGAAUUGCAUUUCAAACUGGCCGACUAGAGUACGGUAGAGGGAGGUAGAAUUUCCUGUGUAGCGGUGAAAUGCGUAGAUAUAGGAAGGAAUACCAGUGGCGAAGGCGGCCUCCUGGAUCGAUACUGACGCUGAGGCGCGAAAGCGUGGGGAGCAAACAGGAUUAGAUACCCUGGUAGUCCACGCCGUAAACGAUGAGAACUAGCCGUUGGACCCCUUGAGGGUUUAGUGGCGUAGCUAACGCGAUAAGUUCUCCGCCUGGGGAGUACGGCCGCAAGGCUA
rnacentral:rRNA from 1 species